rnacentral:rRNA from 1 species
UCGAGAAUUUUUCUCAAUGGGCGAAAGCCUGAAGGAGCGACGCCGCGUGGGGGAUGAAGGGCUUCGGCCCGUAAACCCCUGUCAUUUGCGAACAAACCUUACGGUCUAACACAUCGUGAGCUGAUUGUAGCGAAAGAGGAAGGGACGGCUAACUCUGUG